UACAGAGGUCUCAAGCGUUGUUCGGAUUCAUUGGGCGUAAAGGGUGCGUAGGUGGCGCGGUAAGUCGGGUGUGAAAUCUCGGAGCUUAACUCCGAAAUUGCAUUCGAUACUGCCGUGCUCGAGGACUGGAGAGGAGACUGGAAUUCCUGGUGUAGCGGUGAAAUGCGCAGAUAUCAGGAGGAACACCGGUGGCGAAGGCGGGUCUCUGGGCAGUAACUGACGCUGAGGAGCGAAAGCGUGGGGAGCGAACAGG
rnacentral:rRNA from 1 species